UAGCAAUCCGCAGUGAUUAGCGUCUCCUGCAGCCCACUGGGACCCAACACCCCCCGUGCGCCCUCCCAAGGCCUGGCCUCCCCGAAGGGCCCUGCAGGAAGCAGAAUGGGGACCACAGUCCGUGCCCUGUGGCUCCCUCAGGCGGACCUGCCAUGUGUGAGUCAGGACAGGUGUCUUUACAGCAUGCUACAGAGCAGAGGGAGUGGAAGUUCCUGGAGUCUAGAAGCUUCUCUACCGUGGCCUCCAUCAUCACAUUCUAGAACCCAGAACCAAAGGCCAACUUCUGAAGGCAUUGGUCCCAUCCGAGGGCCUUCGGGGCCGGUCUACCUGGGAUGCCAAAGGGGCCCCACAGAGAAGCUCUCUGAAGGGCCAGCUGCUCAGUGGACUUUUGGAGGCCUCUUCCCAGUUCAAGAAGGAGAAGAUGGACGCCCCAGGCAAGUUCAGGCCCCAGGGAACUCCACAGUAUCUGUCUUCUUCAUUAAGACACACAAGUAUUAAGAUCACAGACAUCAUGCCGUGAUGCCUCAGGGACAGAUCGGUGCAUCGGGGCAGCUGGUUUGUACCAAGUGGUAUAGGCUACAGGAGUUCCCUCCAUUAAGGACCUGGCCGGGCACGAAGGCUGCUAGCCCACACAACUGCACAUGGCACAGAUGACUCACCCCUGGAGAAUGUCACCUUGGAAGAAGCCUUUGCGCCCAUCCAAGCCCAGCCCUGGCUUUUCCAGGUAAGGAAAACUGAGGGUCCACCGUGAGGAGAGGACUUCUAAUGGAUCGAAUGACAGAGGGGGACUAGAACAAUUCUGCAUUGCGACUUGGUUUUUGAGAUGCUGCUUUGGGCUCACAAUGUAUCACACCAGAAGGGUCUUUGGAAAAAAAGGGCUGUCACCUGGGACCCCAGAAACAUGGCCUUAAUAUGGAGCAGGAUGGUCUGAUAAACCCUCACUUGAGCAAAGCCCAACACUGGGUCUCUAACUCAGCCAAGGCUGCCUCCAGGCAUCUGCCCAGUUUCUGCUUACCGCUGGCCAGCCUCCUCCAGGAAGGACGAAUGCUCACGAUACAACUCAGGAUCAAUACUGGAGUCUUUUCUGGUGAAAAACGUGCCGAGGGGCACCUGGGUGGCUCAGUGGGUUAAGCCUCUGCCUUCAGCCCAGGUCAUGAUCUCAGGGUCCUGGGAUCGAGCCCCGCAUCAGGCUCUCUGCUCAGCAAGGAGCCUGCUUCCUCCUCUCU